CUUGGGGGGGGGGUCCCUCAGCCCAAUUGCGAGAGGGGGCAGGCCAGGCCGAGGGACCCCACUGGUGCACC
rnacentral:pre_miRNA from 1 species